AGAGACAACAAAUACAGGGUGCGCUUGAUAAAAUGAAAGAUGGUAAAAAAAAAAGUCUCUAUAGGUACAGUGUAGACCUAUAGAGACUUUUUUUUUUUUUUUUUUUACCAUCUUUCAUUUUAUCAAGCGCACCCUGUAUUUG